GCAGGGUUUGGUGGCUUGCCUCGGCUCUGGUCCCCGGUCUCAGUAAGUCUGGUAGACGUCGUGGAUGGGCACCUGGAGAGCAGCAGGGAAGGCCUGAGUGCCACGGUGUACACAGGAGUUAUUGGAUGGCCCUGGAAAGGUGGUGGUGUGGAUACCACAGGAAUGGCGGCGGCGGCGGCGGCGGCUGCACCGCAAUGGGGCUGAUCAUGUGUUCCAUUGUGUGGAUCUUCCCAUCUUCAAGUAUUUUCGGGGCUGGGGCUGCCUGGAACAUGAAGUACUGGGCACUGAUGGCAGGGAUGGCCACUGUGCCAGGCUUAAUAGCAACUGGAUUGACAGUAGAGAUUUCCAAAUUCGGAACAAGCUCACAUCCUUUUUCUCGCUGUUUGCCUUUGCCUUCAUGAUAUUGGCUAUAUAUACCACGGCCAGCAGAAUAUCAACUGCCUUCAAGGGUGUGACACAGCCUUGUUGAAGUUUGGCCUUUCUCAAAGUCUUCCCCUGAAAAAGUUCUCCUAUUCCACUCUGCCAAAUAAACUUGUUCUCCAAAUUGGCCUUCUCAUCAAA